CAGCAGCCACGGUAAUACGAAGGGGGCUAGCGUUGUUAGGAUUUACUGGGCGUAAAGGGUGCGUAGGCGGACUGAUAAGUCAGGGGUGAAAUCCCAAGGCUCAACCUUGGAACUGCCUUUGAUACUGUUAGUCUUGAGUUCGAGAGAGGUGAGUGGAACUGCGAGUGUAGAGGUGAAAUUCGUAGAUAUUCGCAAGAACACCAGUGGCGAAGGCGGCUCACUGGCUCGAAACUGACGCUGAGGCACGAAAGCGUGGGGAGCAAACAGGAUUAGAUACCCCGGUAGUCCCUGUCUCUUAUAC
rnacentral:rRNA from 1 species